AGGUCGGUGAUGUAAUGGUAGCAUGACAGUCUCCAAAACUGUCUGUCGGGGUUCGAGUCCCUGCCGGCCUG
rnacentral:tRNA from 1 species